CCAAUAGCGUAUAUUAAAGUUGUUGCAGUUAAAAAGCUCGUAGUUGAAUUUCGGGAUCAAUGUUUCGGUCAUGCCGUUGGUAUGUACUGAUAUUAUUGAUUUCUCACCUUCUAAAGAACCGUAAUGCCAUUAAUUUGGUGUCACGGGGAAUUAGGACUGUUACCUUGAAAAAAUUAGAGUGUUUAAAGCAGGCUCACGCUUGAAUACAUUAGCAUGGAAUAAUGAAAUAGGACAUCCGAUUCUAUUUUGUUGGUUUCUAGGAUCGAUGUAAUGAUUAAUAGGGAUAGUUGGGGGCAUUAGUAUUCAAUUGUCAGAGGUGAAAUUCUUGGAUUUAUUGAAGACUAACUACUGCGAAAGCAUUUGCCAAGGAUGUUUUCAUUAAUCAAGAACGAAAGUUAGGGGAUCGAAGACGAUCAGAUACCGUCGUAGUCUUAACCAUAAACUAUGCCGACUAGGGAUCGGAUGAUGUUAAUUUUUUAAUGACUCAUUCGGCGCCUUACGG
rnacentral:rRNA from 1 species